AUGGCGCGCUCGAGCUCCGUCACCGAGGCCGAGGUCGGCAUCUCCUGCUUCACCUCCGCCCUCCCGGGCUUCCGCGGCGUCCUCAAGCACCGCUACUCCGACUUCAUCGUCCACGAGGUCGCCCGCGACGGCUCCGUCGUGCGCCUCACCUCCCUCGAUCUCCCCGACCAGUGCGUGGAUGCCAAGGAGGAGGAGAAGGCGGCGCCGGCGGCCGACGCCGACCACUCCAAGGCCCUCGAGUUGUUCGGCGAGCUCUGCGGUGAGGCGGACUGCCAUGCGCUGAGGGGGCUUCUCGAGAAGGUCGCGGCCGGCGGCGAGGGUGAUUUCUCGCCGGUUAUGCUCUCGCCGGAUGCUGACAAGGCCCAUCGAUCGGAGGUGCACAACUUUUUCAAGAAAAACUUCAAGUUCUUGGUCACAGACACAGUGGAACACAGCGAUGGGGUUCAGAAAUACAUCAGGGUACGCGUGGGCUCUGAAGCUGGAGGAGGGCGGGGCCGUGGCGGGCGGGGCGGUGGUGGGAGGGGUGGUGGCGGCAGAGGAAGGAAGAGGAAGAACAUGAAUGGUUCUGAUUGGGGAGACGACAGGCCAUUUGACAGUAGAGGGUCGUCUAGUUGGCCAGCUAAUGCUGGGAAGUUCCUGAGGUUUCACCUUUGCAAAGAAAACAAGGACACCCAAGAUGCAUUGGGGGUAAUAGGAAAAAUGUUAGGACUACAGUCACGCUCAUUUGGGUUUUCUGGAACAAAGGAUAAACGUGCCGUUACGACGCAACAGGUUACCGUUUUCAAGGUACCAGCAAAUAAAAUUGCUGCACUUAAUAAGCGACUAUAUGGCAUCAAAGUUGGAAACUUCUGUUAUGUAAAGGAGGGACUUGGUCUUGGUCAGCUCAUGGGAAAUCGGUUUACCAUUACCCUGAGAGGCGUUGUUGCAGAAUCGGAAGACAUGAUAAAGGCUGCUGUGGAUGGCUUAGGAAAGAACGGCUUUAUCAACUAUUAUGGUUUGCAGCGCUUUGGAAGUGGUUCAGUACCAACCCACCGUAUUGGAGCUGCUUUGCUUAGAGGAGAAUGGAAAAAUGCUGUAAACUUGGUUCUUGAUCCAAGGGAAGGAGAGCGUGAUGACAUAAAGGAGGUGCGUGAACAUUACAAGCAACAUGGUGAUAUUGAUAUGGCUCUGAGGAACUUCCCUCGCCAUCUUGUGGCUGAGAAGGCUAUUCUUCAGUGUUUGAGGAAAUGCCCUGAUAACUAUCUACAAGCAUUAAAGGGUAUACCAAGACCGUUAAGAAUGAUGUAUGUCCAUUCUUACCAAAGUUACCUUUGGAAUCAUGCUGCCAGCAUGAGAGUUGAAAAGUAUGGCAUUUCACAGGUCGUAGAAGGUGAUCUAAUCUAUACCAAAGAAAGCCAUCCUGGAGAAGCAACUUCUGUGGGUACUUCAGAAGUUGAUGGCCUUACAAAUUCUUCUGAAAUUGAUAUUUGUCCUGAAGCAAUUCCAGAAGAAAAUAUCCAGUCUGUGAAGCUAGUUGAUUCUGAAGAUUUAUCGAAAGGGAUCUACUCGUUUGAAGAUGUCGUCCUUCCUUUGCCUGGUUCACAAGCAUUGUUCCCUGGGAAUGAAGUUGCUGAGAUUUACCAUGAAAUGGCUAAAAAGGAUGGCAUUAGCUUGACAGAGAAUGCUCAUGGUGUGAAGGAGUUCUCAAUUACAAGCAUGAAAGGAGGUUACCGUCGGGUGUUCCAGAAGCCUAUUGAUUUUGAGUGGGAACUCAUGACAUACACAGAUGACAGUGCAUCUUUAGCAGAAACCGAUUUGGAUAUUCUCUCUAAAGGCAAGCUUACAGAAGCAAAGGUAGCUAAUGAGCCUGCUGCAUCUAGUAAAAAUUCCGCCUCCAAUCCACCUGAUUGCAAGAUGGAAGAGCCAUUGGCGACCUCCAUGCCAACCAGUGAAACUAGGUUAGAAGAAAACAAGUCUAUUGGCAGCUCAGAUACAUUGCCAAGCAAACUGGCCGUGAAAUUAGCAUUUACUUUACCUGCAUCAUCCUAUGCUACAAUGGCAAUCAGGGAGUUGCUGAAGGAUUCAACCUCGGUUGCGUACCAGAAAACACUUGAUUGCUAA
rnacentral:rRNA from 1 species